rnacentral:rRNA from 1 species
AGUGAAUAGAUACCCUGGUAGUCCACGCCGUAAACCAUGUUUGCUAGCUGUCGGAGUCCUUAGGGCUUCGGCGGCGGAGAGAAAAAUCAUUAAGCAAACCGCCUGGGGAGUACGGCCGCAAGGUUAAAACUCAAAGGAAUUGACGGGGACCCGCACAAGCGGUGGAGCAUGUUGUUCAAAUUCGAAGCAACGCGAAGAACCUUACCUACCCUUGACAUGUUCAGUAUGGGGCCGAGAGAUUGGCUCCUUCAGUUCGGCUGGCUGGAACACAGGUGCUGCAUGGCUGUCGUCAGCUCGUGUCGUGAGAUGUUGGGUUAAGUCCCGCAACGAGCGCAACCCUCAUCGUCUGUUGCCAUCAGGUUAAGCUGGGCACUCUGACGAGACUGCCGGUGACAAGCCGGAGGAAGGCGGGGAUGACGUCAAGUCAUCAUGGCCCUUACGGGUAGGGCCACAAACGUGCUACAAUGGCGGUGACAGUGGCCGCGAGGCAGUGAUGCCAAGCCAAUCCCAAAAACGCCGUCUCAGUUC